rnacentral:rRNA from 1 species
AGCAGCCGCGGUAAUUCCAGCUCCAAUAGCGUAUAUUAAAGUUGUUGCAGUUAAAAAGCUCGUAGUUGAAUUUCGGGAUCAGUACGCUGGUCGUGCCUCCGGUAUGUACUGGUGUCACUGAUUCCUCCCUUCUGAAGAACCAUCAUGCCAUUCACUUGGUGUGGUGGGGAAUCAGGACUGUUACUUUAGAAAAAUUAGAGUGUUUAAAGCAGGCUCGCGCUUGAAUACAUUAGCAUGGAAUAAUGAAAUAGGACGUUUAUCCUAUUUUGUUGGUUUCUAGGAUUGACGUAAUGAUUAAUAGGGAUAGUUGGGGGCAUUAGUAUUCAAUUGUCAGAGGUGAAAUUCUUGGAUUUAUUGAAGACUAACUACUGCGAAAGCAUUUGCCUAAGGAUGUUUUCAUUAAUCAAGAACGAAGUUAGGGGAUCGAAGACGAUCAGAUACCGUCGUAGUCUUAACCAUAAACUAUGCCGACUAGGGAUCGGAUGAUGUUAAUUUUUAAUGACUCAUUCC